AACGGGGGGGGGCGAAGCGUUAUUCAUAUUGACUGGGCGUAAAGGAUGCGUAGAUAGUAAUAAUAGCUUUUUUUAAAUUAUGGGGCUCAGCUUCAAAAAGGAAAAAGAUCGUUAUUAGUUGUAUAUAGCAGAAAAUAACCGUACUUUUUUGUGUAGCGCUAAUAUGCAUAGAUAUUAAAGGGACGAACAUAAGGCGAAGGCUGUUAUUUAGGUUUUAUAGACAUUGAGGCAUGAAAAGCGUGGGGAGCAAACGGG
rnacentral:rRNA from 1 species